AUAAGAGAACCCAUAUAUACUAAAACAAGAAUGAUUUAGAAAAGAUUAACAUAGUCCCUGCAUAAGGAUGAUGUGCAAAUUUGUGAAGCAUUCCACAUUUUU
ensembl:snRNA U6 U6 spliceosomal RNA